AACGAACGCUGGCGGCAUGCCUAACACAUGCAAGUCGAACGAGACCUUCGGGUCUAGUGGCGCACGGGUGCGUAACGCGUGGGAACCUGCCCUUAGGUUCGGAAUAACUCCCCGAAAGGGGUGCUAAUACCGGAUAAUGUCUUCGGACCAAAGGUUUAUCGCCUUUGGAUGGGCCCGCGUUGGAUUAGCUAGUUGGUAGGGUAAAAGCCUACCAAGGCGACGAUCCAUAGCUGGUCUGAGAGGAUGAUCAGCCACACUGGGACUGAGACACGGCCCAGAAUCCUACGGAAGGGAGCAGUGGGGAAUAUUGGACAAUGGGCGAAAGCCUGAUCCAGCAAUGCCGCGUGAGUGAUGAAGGCCUUAGGGUUGUAAAGCUCUUUUACCCGGGAUGAUAAUGACAGUACCGGGAGAAUAAGCUCCGGCUAACUCCGUG
rnacentral:rRNA from 1 species